rnacentral:rRNA from 1 species
AGUAAGGAAUCUUCCACAAUGGGCGCAAGCCUGAUGGAGCAAUGCCGCGUGCAGGAAGACGCUUUUCGGAGUGUAAACUGCUUUUCUGAAGGAAGAUUAUGACGGUACUUCAGGAAUAAGGAUCGGCUAAAUACGUGCCAGCAGCCCCGGUAAUAAGUAGGAUCCAAGCGUUAUCUGGAAUUACUUGGGGUAAAGCGUGCGCAGAGGGUUUGAUAGGUCAGUUGCGAAAUCCCAUGGGUCAACCAUGUGGACUGUAAUUGAAACCAUCUGACUAGAGGUAGGUAGAGGCAAGUGGAAUUUCUGGUGUAGGGGUGACAUCCGUAGAUAUCAGAAGGAACACCAAUGGCGAAGGCAGCUUGCUGGGCCUUACCUGACGUUCAGGCACGAAAGCGUGGGGAGCAAACAGGAUUAGAUACCCUGGUAGUUCACGCCGUAAACGAUGAUCACUAGUGAUAUGGGGCUUCGACCCCCUCUGUCACAAAGCUAACGCGUUAAGUGUCCGCC